AGCGAACGCUGGCGGCAGGCCUAACACAUGCAAGUCGAACGGAUCCUUCGGGAUUAGUGGCGGACGGGUGAGUAACACGUGGGAACGUGCCCUUUGGUUCGGAACAACUCAGGGAAACUUGAGCUAAUACCGGAUGUGCCCUUCGGGGGAAAGAUUUAUCGCCAUUGGAGCGGCCCGCGUCUGAUUAGCUAGUUGGUGAGGUAACGGCCCACCAAGGCGACGAUCAGUAGCUGGUCUGAGAGGAUGAUCAGCCACACUGGGACUGAGACACGGCCCAGACUCCUACGGGAGGCAGCAGUGGGGGAUCUUGCGAAAUGGGCGAAAGCCUGACGCAGCCAUGCCGCGUGAAUGAUGAAGGUCUUAGGAUUGUAAAAUUCUUUCAGCGGGGACGAUAAUGACGGUACCCGCAGAAGAAGCUCCGGCUAACUUCGUG
rnacentral:rRNA from 1 species